ensembl:lncRNA
GGGUUAGGGGGUUACCAGACCGAUAUCACCCAGGGUUAGGGGGUUACCAGACCGAUAUCACCCAGGGUUAGGGGCGUUACCAGACCGAUAUCACCCAGGGUUAGGGGGGCGUUACCAGACCAAACACACCCAGGGUUAGGGGCGUUACCAGACCAAACACACCCAGGGUUAGGGGGUUACCAGACCGAUAUCACCCAGGGUUAGGGGCGUUACCAGACCGAUAUCACCCAGGGUUAGGGGCAUUACCAGACCAAACACACCCAGGGUUAGGGGGCAUUAACAGACCGACAAGACCCAGGGAUAGGGGCGUUACCAGACCAAACACACCCAGGGUUAGGGGCGUUACCAGACCGAUAUCACCCAGGGUUAGGGGCGUUACCAGACCGAUAUCACCCAGGGUUAGGGGUGUUACCAGACCGAUAUCACCCAGGGUUAGGGGCAUUACCAGACCAAACACACCCAGGGUUAGGGGUGUUACCAGACCAAACACACCCAGGGUUAGGGGCGUUACCAGACCGAUAUCACCCAGGGUUAGGGCGUUACCAGACCGAUAUCACCCAGGGUUAGGGGCAUUAACAGACCGACAAGACCCAGGGAUAGGGGCGUUACCAGACCAAACACACCCAGGGUUAGGGGCGUUACCAGACCGAUAUCACCCAGGGUUAGGGGCAUUACCAGACCAAACACACCCAGGGUUAGGGGCAUUAACAGACCGACAAGACCCAGGGAUAGGGGCGUUACCAGACCAAACACACCCAGGGUUAGGGGUGUUACCAGACCGAUAUCACCCAGGGGUUAGGGCGUUACCAGACCGAUAUCACCCAGGGUUAGGGGCGUUACCAGACCGAUAUCACCCAGGGUUAGGGGCGUUACCAGACCGAUAUCACCCAGGGUUAGGGGCGUUACCAGACCGAUAUCACCCAGGGUUAGGGGUGUUACCAGACCAAACAACACUUAACAGAGAGCUAUUCUAGAAGGAAAAAGAGGUGGUCAGUGUGGGACAGCCCAGGUUAAGGAGGGGUUCAAGUUAGGAUCAUUAAGACUGUAGGCUUCAUUAACUUACACGUAGGAAGUACAUGUGAUCAAACAAUUCAAUAAUGGUACAGGUUAACACUUAAAAAUAACUAUAGACAGGACCUUUCUAAGGCUGUUCUAGAUCCGAUACAGUAAACAACAGUAAUUCAAACAGAUCAUAUAUUAUCAACAGUUAACAGUUGAUUCAACAGAUCAUAUAUUAUCAACAGUUAACAGUUGUAUUUCUUUAAGCCCUUUAAAAAGCGAACCCUCCGCAAUCAAAGGCAUCAAAGUCGGAGUCUCCUCCCUCGAAGUCGAAGCUGUUGAAUUGUGGGGGGUUGUCUACGUCCUGACUACAAUGGAAGGACCCACCCGACCCCCCUCCCAUCUCUGAGAAGCUCCCUGCCCCUCCACCGUGGCCCAGCGGGCCCAGAUCCUGCAGGCCGGAGGCUCUGGAGGUCAGAGGGGAGGAGGGAGAGCAGGACUGGAGGUAGCCCAGAGCGGAGGAGGCUGCUGCCCCUCCCAUCAGCAGACACACCGCCCUCACCGCCCGCGCGUCGCUGCUGUUACCGUGGCGAAGACAGUCUGACGUACGGUGGGGCGGAGCUACUGACGCCACGCUACGCACAGACCGCACUGACUGUCUGU